CAGAGGGGGAUAACGUUUGGAAACGAGCGCUAAUACCGCAUGAUAUUAUCUUAUCGCAUGAUAGGAUGAUCAAAGGAGUGAUCCGCUGAAAGAUGGGCUCGCGUCCGAUUAGGUAGUUGGUGAGGUAACGGCCCACCAAGCCGACGAUCGGUAGCCGGACUGAGAGGUUGGACGGCCACAUUGGGACUGAGACACGGCCCAGACUCCUACGGGAGGCAGCAGUAAGGGAUAUUGGUCAAUGGGGGAAACCCUGAACCAGCAACGCCGCGUGAGGGAAGACGGUUUUCGGAUUGUAAACCUCUGUCCUCUGUGAGGAUGAUGACGGUAGCAGAGGAGGAAGCUCCGGCUAACUACGUGCCAGCAGCCGCGGUAAUACGUAGGGAGCGAGCGUUGUCCGGAUUUACUGGGUGUAAAGGGUGCGUAGGCGGCUAUGCAAGUCAGUAGUGAAAUCCAUGGGCUUAACCCAUGAACUGCUAUUGAAACUGCACAGCUUGAGUGAAGUAGAGGUAGGCGGAAUUCCCGGUGUAGCGGUGAAAUGCGUAGAGAUCGGGAGGAACACCAGUGGCGAAGGCGGCCUACUGGGCUUUAACUGACGCUGAGGCACGAAAGCGUGGGUAGCAAACAGGAUUAGAUACCCUGGUAGUCCACGCUGUAAACGAUGAUUACUAGGUGUGGGGGGACUGAACCCUUCCGUGCCGGAGU
rnacentral:rRNA from 1 species